GCAAGGGUGGCUGAGUCAGGCUAAAGGCAGCGGAUUGCAAAUCCGUAAAAUCGUGGGUUCGAAUCCCUCCCCUUGCUCCA
rnacentral:tRNA from 1 species